CGUGUCCUCACCCUCUGCCCUCCCCAGGGAACUCAAGUGUGGGGAACCAAACCUGUGGCCAGCUGCCUGCACCAUGGCCAGGAGAAGGGGGUUCUGUGAAUACUGCCAGGAGGCCUUUGCUCCCUGGGGUGAGCCCCUUCCCUAAGAGGCAGUCGCUCCCCACACUCUCUGAGGGAGCCCAGUUCGCCAAGGAGCCUUGCCUGCCCAGUCUCCUCUGUGGCAUGUCUAACACCAGAAGCGCUGGCAUCUGGGCUGGUCCCACCCCAGCCUUAUCGAAUGCCCUGCGCCUCCCCCUGGCCAGCAUCCUCCGAGUUUCCAGCACCACGGCUUUGCCACCGCUUUGUGGACAUAACUUUUUGGGGGUCAGACUCCCCAAAUGAGCAGAACCAGUCACAUCCAGAACCCCGAGUGAGGCUGUCAGGGUCCCUGGCUCUGAUUGUGACCCACUCUGUCUUGAGAGUCCACCCCCUGGCCAGCCAUCCCAUCUUAGGGCAGCAUCUCCUGGGAUGAAGAAGGAAAGUGGCGGCCAGACUCCGGGUGUCCCAGAGCAGAAGGGGACAGUGGACAGCACAAAGGCACCAGCUGACCCUGCAGUGGCUUGGUGAGGUGCCAGGACCAGAAGCAAGAUGUCUGGGGGACCAGCUGGUUUGCUUGUGCCCCCCUCCCAAGACCCCAUUCUCUGGCAGCCCUCAGAGAGACCAGCAAGGUCUUGGACCAUCCAGUCUCCCGGGCCUUUGGGAAGAUGGCCCCUGGAAUCUGAGGAUUCUGAGUGUGCGGCCCUCGGCGCUCUUUGCCAGCAGGCUGACCAGCUCCCCGGCUGCACCCCGAGUCUCCAGCCUGCUGUCAGCCCACUGGUACCCAACAGCAGGCGGGCCUGCCGAUGCCCAGUCCCCAUCGCUCUCCCCCUUGCUUGCCCAGCCGGUGUAGGAUCCCAUUGCUCCGGUAACUUUGGGGGCCCCAGCCUCUCCAAGUGUCUGGUCUCCUGGGCCCGGCCCCUGCUCGGCGCUGGCAGACUGCUGCUCCUGUGAAUCCCGGAGACAGCUCCUAACUGCAGGGUCAGAGUCGGGGGGGGGGGGCACCUGUGCUGGUGCUGCCCACUGACCAGGGCUCACUGGGACAGCAGGAGGACCAAAGCCCGAGACCACCCCGGAAGAGCCAGGGGGCGCAGGCCUUUGGGGGGUCGGUAAAGCGGCUGUGGUACUCAGCUCUGUGGUGCAAAAGCACUGCCAGGCUGCCGGGUCUUUGCCUGGAGGAGUCUGGACUGGGAAUGCCCUCUGCCUCCAUCCACGGACGAGACCGGACAGAACUCUGCAGUAGGCUUGCCCAGCCACAGCUAGCCGCCCACAGGGACAAGGUUGGCGUGAGAGGGACCACAGAGGAGCUGGAGCAGUGGCCCAGCUUCCUGCCUCCACCACCCCACCCCACCCCCACCGAGCACUUGCCUCUUUUCAGAGCCAAGGGUUAGCUGGUGCUGCCCACCCCCACGGCAGCCUCCUUUCCCACAAGCAUGUGGUCUCUCCUGCGUUCUGAAAUGGCUGUUUGUGUCCCCUCCCCCACCCCCCCACGCUCACGCGGAUCCUCGGGGAAACAUGAAGCAGAGGAGGGCUUGGGCUGUGGUGCCUCCCAGCCUUGGCGCCCCCAUGCACUUAGCCGGAACCCA